GCCUCCUCCUGACAUCAAGGAUUGCUCGGUCCAAUAAAAAAAAGCUUCUCAUGUGCACACUCUGAGCCGGCAAGGGGAGUGGGGAGGGAGACUAAAAUACAAUUGAAGAGAGGGGUUAGCGAGGUGGCAAGGCUGCAGGGAAUGGAGGGGAAACACAAGAUAUAAGAGACGCAGAUUAAGUCUGUCGCCGGCGUGCAGUGAGCGCUGAUGACAGACAUAAAAUAAGCACAGAACUGACAUUUUUCAG